rnacentral:rRNA from 1 species
UACGUAGGGGGCUAGCGUUGUUCGGAUUUAUUGGGCGUAAAGCGCUCGUAGGCGGUUUUGUAAGUCAGGGGUGAAAUCCCGGAGCUCAACUCGGGAACUGCCCUUGAAACUGCAGUGCUAGAAUCUUGGAGAGGCGAGUGGAAUUCCGGGUGUAGAGGUGAAAUUCGUAGAUAUUCGGAAGAACACCAGUGGCGAAGGCGACUCGCUGGACAAGUAUUGGCGCUGAGGUGCGAAAGCGUGGGGAGCAAACAGG